CCGGUUUCCUCACGAUGUUUUCACCGAAAAGCGACUGAUAAAUAUCAAAUGAUAUUUCGUACAUAAGUUCCGAAAAACUCAUUGGUACGAGCCAGGAUUUGAAUCCGCGACCUCCGGAUUGCAAGUCGCACGCUCUUACCGCUAGGCCACCAGCGCUUUUUUUUUACUUAAAUAUUCUAUACAUACAAACAUAUAAUCACGCCUAUUUCCCGAAGGGGUAGGCAGAGACCACGGAUUUCCACUUGCUACGAUCCUGACAUACCUCUUUCGCUUCCUUCACUUUCAUAACAUUCCUCAUACACGCUCG